GUCACGCUGUAAACGAAUGGAUGCUAGCCGUCAGCAAGCACUGCUUGUUGGUGGCGCAGCUAACGCAUUAAGCGAUCCCGCCUGGGGAGUACGGACCGCAAGGUUAAAACUCAAAGGGAACUUGACGGGGGCCCGCACAAGCGGUGGAGUCAUGUGGUUUAAUUCGACGACAACGCGAAGAACCUUACCAGCCCUUGACAUGUCCGGACGGUUUCCAGAGAUGGACUCCUCCGUAGCAAUAGGUCGGAACACAGGUGCUGCAUGGCUGUCGU
rnacentral:rRNA from 1 species